rnacentral:ncRNA from 1 species
ACUGGUAGAGGUGCAUAUGUCAUCAGUAUCUUGUUGGAGAUUAAGGCGGUCUUAGAAGGCAAGAGAAAGGGGCAAUUGCCGAAAUUUCAUAGAUUGCCAAAGCUAUGGAGUUGGGGGUGCGGUUAAGAGCCGUAUCACUGUCAUCAAGAGGACGAUGGAGUGCUGCCU